AACGCAUCUUGCGCUCUCUGGUAUUCCGGAGAGCAUGCCUGUUUGAGUGUCAUGAACUCUUCAACCCUCCAGUUCCUUGUUGAGCUGAUAGGUGUUUGGAUUCUGAGUGUUGCUGGUCCUUCGGGGCGAAGCUCAUUCGUAAUACAUUAGCAACUCAAUUUCGACAAUUCGGAUUGACUCGGCGUAAUAGACUAUUCGCUGAGGACACUAGCUUGCUGGUGGCCGAAUUUCGAGGUAGAAGCUUCUAAACCGAUCAAAAGUCAAAUUUUUAGAUUAGACCUCAGAUCAGGCAGGAUUACCCGCUGAACUUAA
rnacentral:misc_RNA from 1 species